ACAUGCCUAUAGCAUAACGUUAAUGCACCGAAUCCCAUUAGAAAUCCGCAGCUAAGCAUGGUUAGGCUAGAGUAGUACUGGGAUGGGUGAGCACCCGAGAAGUCUUAGUGUUUUACAUGUC
rnacentral:rRNA from 1 species